rnacentral:misc_RNA from 1 species
GAUGAAGAACGUAGCGAAAUGCGAUAAGUAAUGUGAAUUGCAGAAUUCAGUGAAUCAUCGAAUCUUUGAACGCACAUUGCGCCCGCCAGUAUUCUGGCGGGCAUGCCUGUUCGAGCGUCAUUACAACCCUCAGGCCCCCGGGCCUGGCGUUGGGGAUCGGCGGAGCCCCCCGUGGGCACACGCCGUCCCCCAAAUACAGUGGCGGUCCCGCCGCAGCUUCCAUCGCGUAGUAGCUAACACCUCGCGACUGGAGAGCGGCGCGGCCACGCCGUAAAACACCCAACUCUUCCGAAGUUGACCUCGAAUCAGGUAGGAAUACCCGCUGAACUUAAGCAUAUCAAUAAGCGGAGGA